AUCGCCAUCGGGAUCAUCUUUAUGCGGGACGAGCUUCGGCGGACGGCGGACCUCCGAUCGCUGACUUCGAAGAUGGUCCCCAUCGCGAAUGACACUGAUCUCAUCAAUUUCUGCCAUCUCUCGAUUCAACACUUUUAUAGGACGAUAUCCCACGAACUUUUCACCUGCAGUUUUUCCGGAUAUAAUUAGAACAAUGGGUACAAGAGACAUGGAAUCUUUAGGAUUGUAACAUUAGGUUUCUUCUUGGGAUUUUUAUAUGUCUUUGACCACCUGUUUCUGUAUAACCUCGACACUGAUACAAGUUACUUAUGGAGUCAUAUUUGUUUUUUUAAA